CGAGCCGGGCGGACGGUCGCGUGGAAUCCCCUCUUGGAGGACUCCCCGAGGAACGUCCGGGCUCCACAGGGCAGGGUGAUGGCUAACGGCCACCCGGGGUGACCCGCGGGAAAGUGCCACAGAAAACAAACCGCCGGGGACUUCGGUCCCCGGUAAGGGUGAAACGGCGGUGUAAGAGACCACCAGUGCCCAGGGCGACCUGGGCAGCUAGGUAAACCCCACCCGGAGCAAGGUCAAAAGGAGCGCUGUAAAAGGCACUCUGCGGGGACGUUCGAGGGCUGCCCGCCCGAGUCCCUGGGUAGACCGCACGAGGCCUGCGGCAACGUAGGCCCUAGAUGGAUGGCCGUCGCCGAGGGGUUCGCGAGACCCCCUCGGAACAGAACCCGGCGUACAGCCCGACUCGUCUG
rnacentral:RNase_P_RNA from 1 species